rnacentral:lncRNA from 1 species
AUGGAAAAGAAAUGCAAAAAAGCAAAAUGGCUGUCUGGGGAGGCCUUACAAAUAGCUGUGAAAAGAAGAGAGGCGAAAAGCAAAGGAGAAAAGGAAAGAUAUAAGUAUCUGAAUGCAGAGUUCCAAAGAAUAGCAAGAAGAGAUAAGAAAGCCUUCUUCAGUGAUCAGUGCAAAGAAAUAGAGGAAAACAACAGAAUGGGAAAGACUAGAGAUCUCUUCAAGAAAAUUAAAGAUAUGAAGGGAACAUUUCAUGCAAAGAUGGGCUCGAUAAAGGACAGAAAUGGUCUGGACCUAACAGAAGCAGAAGAUAUUAAGAAGAGAUGGCAAGAAUACACAGAACAACUGUACAAAAAGGAUCUUCAGGACCCGGAUAAUCACAAUGGUGUGAUCACUCAUCUAGAGCCAGACAUCCUGAAAUGUGAAGUCAAGUGGGCCUUAGAAAGCAUCACUAUGAACAAAGCUAGUGGAGGUGAUGGAAUUCCGGUUGAGCUGUUUCAAAUCCUGAAAGAUGAUGCUGUGAAAGUGCUACAUUCAAUAUGCCAGCAAAUUUGGAAAACUCAGCAGUGGCCACAGGACUGGAAAAGGCCAGUUUUCAUUCCAAUCCGAAAGAAAGGCAAUGCCAAAGAAUGCUCAAACUACAGCACAAUUGCACUCAUCUCACAUGCUAGUAAAGUAAUGCUGAAAAUUCUCCAAGCCAGGCUUCAGCAAUACGUGAACCAUGAGCUUCCAGAUGUUCAAGCUGGUUUUAGAAAAGGCAGAGGAACCAGAGAUCAAAUUGCCAACAUCAGCAGGAUCAUGGAAAAAGCAAGAGAGUUCCAGAAAAACAUCUAUUUCUGCUUUAUUGACUAUGCCAAAGCCUUUGACUGUGUGGAUCACAAAAAACUGUGGAAAAUUCUGAAAGAGAUGGGAAUACCAGACCACCUGAUCUGCCUCUUGAGAAAUCUGUAUGCAGGCCAGGAAGCAAUAGUUAGAACUGGACAUGGAACAACAGACUGGUUCCAAAUAGGAGAAGGAGUACAUCAAAGCUGUAUAUUGUCCCCCUGCUUAUUUAACUUCUAUGCAGGGUACAUCAUGAGAAACGCUGGACUGGAAGAAGCACAAGCUGGAGUCAAGAUUGCUGAGAGAAAUAUCAAUAACCUCAGACAUGCAGAUGACACCACCCUUAUGGCAGAAAGUGAAGAGGAACUAAAAAGUCUCUUGAUGAAAGUGAAAGUGAAGAGUGAAAAAGUUGGCUUAAAGCUCAACAUUCAGAAAACGAAGAUCAUGGCAUCCGGUCCCAUCACUCCAUGGGAAAUAGAUGGGGAAACAGUGUCAGACUUUAUGUUUUGGGGCUCCAAAAUCACUGCAGAUGGUGACUGCAGCCAUGAAAUUAAAAGAUGCUUACUCCUUGGAAGAAAAGUCAUGAGCAACCUAGAUAGCAUAUUCAAAAGCAGAGACAUUACUUUGCUGACUAAGGUCCAUCUAGUCAAGGCUAUGGUUUUCCCAGUAGUCAUGUAUAGAUGUGAGAGUCGGACUGUGAAGAAGGCUGAGCGCCGAAGAAUUGAUGCUUUUGAACUGUGGUGUUGGAGAAGCCUCUUGAGAGUCCCUUGGACUGCAAGGAGAUCCAACCAGUCCAUUCUGAAGGAGAUCAGCCCUGGGAUUUCUUUGGAAGGAGUGAUGCUAAAGCUGAAACUCCAGUACUCUGGCCACCUCAUGUGA